UGUUGCUGCUAGACUUCUCCUGGACGGAGCUCAUGAUCCUUUCAGAUGUUACACUUGACUCCUCUGUUCUUUAGAAACCUGUUCACUCUCUUCCACAACAUUAACGAAGACCACCCCCCCUUUUCUCUACUGUGAACCCAGUGCUGUGCUGAUCUCCAUGCAACAUUACCUCCUAUCUUAAGGAGCACCUGUUGUUCCUACUUAUAGAUGAAACUCUUGAGGGUCAGAGGUUAAGUAAUUGGCUUCAUGGCACCUAGUAAGUAUAGGAUUGGGAUUUAAAUUCAGAUUCCUAUCAUGCUCUUUCCCCCACACCAGCAUAUUUACCCCUCUUCCAGUGUCCCUGUUGCUUGAGAACUUCUCAGCUUCUCUGCCCAUUGUGGUAGCCAGCUCUGGUGGCUUGUACUUUUUAGACUGUUCUUUUCUGACUAUUCUCCUGGGCUCUGAUAAUUUUGUUCUUCAGUUCUUUGAUUUUCUUCCAACUUUACCUAUUGCUUGUGCAGAGAUUCAAGGAGUUGGGAAAUUAUUUCACCUGAUGAAUCCAGGCUGGCUCACAAUAGGACUGCCAUCCUGCUUUCUGAUCCCCAAUCACUGGACUGGGUCUGAUGGAUGGGCGUAUGCUUUAGGGGAAAGAAAGACAAGUUUGAAAUUAGGACUAUUUGAAAACAUACACUUCUUCUUGAAAAGGAAAAACUGGUCUCUUGAAACCUUGGCUUGUUGCCUCUUAGAGACUCCCUGGUGGUUGCUUUUUUAUCUGUCCACAUGUGCAAGACUUAGUGUGAGUCGAGAGCCCACAGAAGCUCCAUAUUUCCAUCUGCUGGUCUUGCUAGCCAGGAAGUCCCUUAAGAUAUAUAAAAUAUCCUAAUAGAAUGUCUUUAUGUAGAUCUAUAGUCUUAUUUGGGUUGAUAAGAGGCUUUCAAUGUAGAGGUGAGAGGGGUUGGGUUUUGGAUGAAUUGUUGUUUUUUGUAAUAAUGGUUUGUUUGUUUCUCUUAUCCUCUCCAGAAAUUGAUAAUUAUCAUUGUGGUAGUAGUGGUGUUGCUGGGCAUUUUAGCAUUGAUUAUUGGACUUUCCGUUGGGCUGAAGUAAUGGCGGCCCGAGUGGUUGCUGCACUGAAAUAACCUGAUUUCACUCCAGCCUGGUGUGGCCACCCUUGUCUUCAGAUGGGAGCAGAGUUUGAAUGGACUUCCUGAGAGAGAGUGCGACCUGUUCCUUUGUUUCCUUGUAACCGUCCUUGGACCUCACCCAGCAAACAAUUUAGCCCCAGAGGAAGCUAAUCUACCUGAUGCAACCCUGAGUUCUCCUCAAAACCUUCUCCUGCCCCACCAACUCUGAAGUGCCUUCUCUCCCAGACAGUAAGAACCAACCCAGCUUCUCUUUAUUCCCUCUGAAUGUGUCAAAUUAUGCCUUGCACCUUGGAAAGCCCAUUCCAAACCUUCCCAAGGUGCUGUAUUUUCUACCUCAUGGAGUGUUCUCCUCCCAGAAAUUGCAGUGUAUUUUGUAGGGGGUUAUCGUUAACCACACAAAGGGAUUCUUCUAAGUGUGGCAACAAUAAGGCUUGGCUUGAGCCUUCUACUUGGCAGGGUCUUGGUCCUCACAGUUUAUUGUCCCUAUGUCUUGAAAGUAUGUGGAACUGGCAGAUGUCAUUUUGGUCUUAGAAGCUGACUUGUUUGAAGUUCAAUUUUAAAUUAAGCUCUUAGUUUGUUCAGCUUGGGGGCCAACUUCAAUCUUUAUGUUGUAUUCUCUCAUGUUUACUCAAGGAGGCACCAGCAUGAUAUGGUUGUCCUAGGUUACCAUUUGUAAAGGCUGAGGGUAUGAGAUAUUGGUUUCCCUCUCUGACUCUUGGAAACUGGCUGUUCUCCAUUGGAAUGAUGCUUUGUGGAGCCAUUGCCUUGAGGUGAUAAAUAACCAGGCACUUAAAAUUGGGCCAGGGACAAGGUGCUUGAGUCUCAGGCUCUGGAAAUGCUCAGAUUGGUGCGAGUAUUCAGUCACUCAUUUCAUAUAUUCCAGAUGUAUUUUUAUAAUCGUGUGUGAGACAAAUAUAUGUAUAUAUUUGCCCAUGUCUCUCAGGAAGUAGGAAACUAGAAAUGGAGAAUAUUAUAACCUCAAAACAAACAAACAAACCCCUUGACCUGGGCGGAAAAUUAGGUAAGAGACGUUUGCUUAUCCGCAAAUGAAUCAUAGUAGAAAUAUGAUCAGGUGUCAUUGAGAAACCUUGUUUUCUGGUGAGUACUGGGACAAUCAUAGAUCUUUGCGGUGAGGACUAAGUUGACCCCCUUAAGUUUUUCUGCUUAGCAGACAGGUGUGACAAGUUUUGGCAUCUCUCCCCACUGCUGCAUAGGUGAGGCUUGUCCUGAGAACAUCCCACAGCAAUUUGAGAUCAUUCCUGAGGCCUUUAGGAUGAUCCUGUCUCCAGGGCUGAGUCAGCUGGGGGAGACCGGGGACUACUGAGUAGCCGGUAUUGCUACCAGGUUAAUGAGCUUGACAGGUUCUUUGUCUCCCCCAAUUCUUGUCAUGGAGGAAGCAACAGCCAGGAAAUAAUUUCAAGUGUAGUGACUAUGCUGACCCAGUGGUGAGCCCCUUAGAUUCUCCGCCAGUCUCCCUGAUGUAUAGUUUAGCUUUAACUUUCAAGGAUAGGGUGAGCACCUAGUCCAGGGACUACCCCUUGGCUUCCUUUGCAAAGGCUAUGUACUCCAUCACUGCUCAGCACUCAGACAGAGCCUCUUACCCAUGGCUAUGAAGUCGGGACAGUGGACAGGCUCCAGCAACAAGGGAAGACAAGCUCUAAUCACAGGGCUUUGUUGAGCCCUGGGGCUUAGUUUGGAAUACAAAUGAAGGUUUUUUUUUUUUUUUUUCAUUUGUAUUUUUUAAAUGUAAACUUGAUUAUUUUUUUGAAAUUUAAAAAUAAAUUACUUUAUAUUGAUUGUGAAACAGUUCUGGCUCUAUUUCCCUGCAAAAUAGUGGUUGGGUGCCACCAUGUGGUGGUUUUUGUUUAGGUUUUGGAAAAAGGGUUAAAAUCCUUUUUAACCAUGUGCCAGACCAGAUGGAGCAAAAGUUCUAAUUUUUGAAAAUGGUUUAACUCUCAAAGAAUACAUUGAACUACAUUUGACUUUCAGGUUUAAGGUACUCCCACCAGGAAUUUGGUUCACUCGUCGUGGGUAUCUGGCUCUAGGAGAGAAAGGGGAUAACUCUCAUGUGAUGGGAUCCAGAAGGCAGAACAACAUACUAAACACCCUUAGAGAUUGCUGUUGAUCUAAUUUUGAAUCUCUCGCCUGAAAGCAAUGCUUCUAUUCACAUCCUGGGUUCUAGAAGCCAGAUCCAUCUCCCUUUCCCUUCACAUCUUCCUCCAUGUCUGGAUCCACUUUUGUCUUCCUUCCCUUGCAACUCUGCACAGUGACGCUGCUUCUCACAUGCUUUUUCUUUCCUUGUCUGGUUGAGCAGAAGAAGAUCAUGAUCAUGAUCUGCUGUAUUAUCCUUGCGAUCAUCUUAGCUUCUACCAUUGGGGGCAUAUUUGCCUGAAAAAGGUGAGCCAGCUGUGGGGAGGGUGGGAGGUACUUUCACUUACGUUUAUGUCCAGAGGGCAUUUGUUGUUUGUAGCUGGGUUCCCCAGAUUUGGGUGGGAUUAGGUGGUAGAAUAGAUAAAGGCUGGAGAGAACUAAGGAAAAGUUUUCAUAGAGAGAAAAAUGUGUUAAUAAUGAGUUGGCAGUAGAUGGGGAGGCAGGUGGCAGUCUGUUCCAUAACCAGGGCUGGUAGCAGAAUGCUCUGUUUAGAAUGCUUUGUAGAAGGAUGUUGAUUUCCUGCAGCAAAAUCUGGGCAGUGGUGUCUGCGAAUGGCUAAAGGAGAAAGAAUUAGUUCUUGCAUUGGAAGCACCCCAAACUCCUUAGAAGGAGAGAGCCAGCCAGUAAAUCCAGAGUAAAUUAAUUUCCUCUCUUUGAGGGUUCAGACUAGUUAGUGCAGACUCGCUGAGUAGACUCUUUGCCACUGCAGGGGAAGGACUUGGUGAUCUUGGCUUCGGACAUCCUGUUGUAUAACCUGUGAUUUUCUUCCCCCUCCGUUCUCUCCUGCAGUCCUCCCUGACGGAGCCUCGGUCGGCAUUUUUCAUCCUUCUUUCACUUCUGUGGUGCCAUCACUUCUCCACUGCAGAUUCCUCAACAGCUACUCCUCUUUCCAUUAUGAAACCUAUGACACAGGGUGUCCAACAACCACCUGUUGAAAGUUAUGCAAAGGUAGACUUAGGACAGUGCAGAACUGGGUCGGGGCAGGGCUGAAGGAACAGUUUGCACAGCAACAUGAGACUGGUUAGGAAGAUGGGUGUCCAGGAGGGCUGUGGGCUGGAGAAUACGUGCCUGUCCAGGAAAUAAAACAGAGCCAGGCAGGUAUUGGAGCACACCCAGCUCAUCAGCACUUCAUUUUCUCUUUGAUCAACACCAGGCCCUUGUUACGUCUGCUCUUCAGGUUCUUCUAGGUCUCACCUUUGACCAGCCCUCCAUCUACUUCCUUCUUCAGGGUCUGAUAGUCUGAAGUGAAGAUGAUCUAACCAUAGGCGCCAUGCAGGUCUUGCUCACAGCAGCAUCCCCAAUGCUUAGCACAGUGCCUGCCACUUACAGAUGUUCAAGUAUCAGUUGACUUAAUUACCUGUAAUUAAGCUCUGAUUUCUGCUAACGGUUGAGUCCCUGGGUUUUACUCCGAAACCUUUUAAGGCAUCAGUGGUAAAUGGGUUUGUUAGUAUCAGAGGCUGUGUGCAAAUACCUGGGAAGGGGCCGAUUCACUUAUGCAAAAAUAGGACAGGCCUCCCUUUACUGUGACAUAUAAGGUCCUUUUUUAUGGGUGGUGUUGGAGUUGAGUCUCUCACUCUGCAAAGAUUGGAUGGCCCCAGGAUUGGGGUUCAGUAACUCAGUGUGGAUCCCAAACAAAAGAAACAGGUUUAUACCACAAAUGAACUCCCAACAGUCAUCAGCACCAUACUCGUGACCCGUAACAGAGAUGAGAGGUCAAGUCAGAGAGGUGACAGGUGGCUACCACUCCCAUCGUUUCUUAAGAUGGUUCGUGGUGCUGAAACUGAUUUUGUUGGCCAGCAAUGUGUGUAUAAAACUGUCCCAAACAAUGGCCCCAAUUCAAGGUUCAGAUGUGUUCUAAUGCAAUCUAGUAAUUAUAUUACAAGAGCUUCACUAAAAAUACAUUAAGAACCACCAUGGACAACUCUUGAGGACCAUGUAACUGUUUAGAUAUAUUUGUACUUUUGAAAGUAGAUUACUUUGUGGGACUUUUUAAGAAAGUGGGAUUAAACUGGUAAGAACAGGUAACUAUAUUUGACCUUAGCCAAAAGUGGGAUUAAAAAAAAAAAAGCUGGUAUUUCAAGUCAGUGUGCUGUUUUCUACCCACUUUCAAAAGCAAAUGGUUUACUAUUUUUAUCCAUUUGUAUUUCUUUCAGUUUUAUAGGGGAUAGAAAACUGCUGGCUAGCUCUGGAAGAGAUGAAUCUUGUUAAAGACAGACAGGAAGGUGGAACCAUGGGGAUCUGAAACACAUGGGGCCUUUAUUCAUCCAACAGUACCUAGUUGAGUGCUGUGUGGCACACUGCACCGUCCUAGAACCUGCAGGGAAGCAAAGGUAGAGCCAAACACUCACCCUCCUCAGAGAAUUUCAGACCUAGGAAAGGCCAGACAACAACCUUUAUCAAAGUUCCUUGUGUUAAAAGGCAACGGUAUGUUCCUUACCGUAUUGUCCAACAUCCCCCUUUGACUUCCAAGAUUGAGAGAUGGGUAGCUGGACAUAAAUAAAUAUCUGUUCAGUCAAUUAA